UGGGGAAUAUUGCACAAUGGAGGGAACUCUGAUGCAGCGACGCCGCGUGAGUGAUGAAGGAAUUCGUUUCGUAAAACUCUGUUCUAUGGGAAGAAAAGGACUGUACCAUAGGAGAAAGCUCCGGCUAAAUACGUGCCGGCAGCCGCGGUAAUACGUAUGGAGCGAGCGUUGUCCGGAAUUAUUGGGCGUAAAGGGUGCGCAGGCGGCUUUACAAGUUGGAUGUGAAAUAUUGUGGCUCAACCACAAACGUGCAUCCAAAACUGCAAAGCUUGAGUUAAGGAGAGGUAAGUGGAAUUCCUGGUGUAGCGGUGGAAUGCGUAGAUAUCAGGAGGAAUACCGGUGGCGAAGGCGACUUACUGGACUUAAACUGACGCUCAGGCACGAAAGCGUGGGGAGCAAACAGG
rnacentral:rRNA from 1 species